UGGGGAAUUUUGGACAAUGGGGGCAACCCUGAACCAGCAAUGCCGCGUGUGUGAAGAAGGCCUUCGGGUUGUAAAGCACUUUUGUCCGGGAAGAAAUCGCACCUGAUAAUACCGGGUGUGGAUGACGGUACCGGAAGAAUAAGGACCGGCUAACUACGUGCCAGCAGCCGCGGUAAUACGUAGGGUCCAAGCGUUAAUCGGAAUUACUGGGCGUAAAGCGUGCGCAGGCGGUUGUGCAAGACCGAUGUGAAAUCCCCGGGCUUAACCUGGGAAUUGCAUUGGUGACUGCACGGCUAGAGUGUGUCAGAGGGGGGUAGAAUUCCACGUGUAGCAGUGAAAUGCGUAGAGAUGUGGAGGAAUACCGAUGGCGAAGGCAGCCCCCUGGGAUAACACUGACGCUCAUGCACGAAAGCGUGGGGAGCAAACAGG
rnacentral:rRNA from 1 species